GUUACAAAUGUUGACAUCGCUGUCAUCGUCUGUCCUGAAAAGUACGCAAGCUUCAGGCGACAAUCAGUGGGAGCCACCACUUGUUACAAUAGAUGAUGGCGAUAGCAGAAUUAGUUCAGGAUACAUCCAGUUUCCAGCCCCGCGACGUGGACGCUUCUGCUAUGGGCCCAUGUACUCUGCAUUGAU